UGCGCAGGCGGCUCUUUAAGACAGGUGUGAAAUCCCCGGGCUUAACCUGGGAAUUGCGCUUGUGACUGGGGAGCUCGAGUGCGGCAGAGGGGGAUGGAAUUCCUGGUGUAGCAGUGAAAUGCGUAGAUAUCAGGAGGAACACCGAUGGCGAAGGCAGUCCCCUGGGUCGACACUGACGCUCAUGCACGAAAGCGUGGGGAGCAAACAGGAUUAGAUACCCUGGUAGUC
rnacentral:rRNA from 1 species